rnacentral:rRNA from 1 species
UGGGGAAUAUUGCACAAUGGGCGCAAGCCUGAUGCAGCCAUGCCGCGUGUGUGAAGAAGGCCUUCGGGUUGUAAAGCACUUUCAGCGAGGAGGAAGGUGGUGAGCUUAAUACGCUCAUCAAUUGACGUUACUCGCAGAAGAAGCACCGGCUAACUCCGUGCCAGCAGCCGCGGUAAUACGGAGGGUGCAAGCGUUAAUCGGAAUUACUGGGCGUAAAGCGCACGCAGGCGGUUUGUUAAGUCAGAUGUGAAAUCCCCGGGCUCAACCUGGGAACUGCAUUUGAAACUGGCAAGCUAGAGUCUCGUAGAGGGGGGUAGAAUUCCAGGUGUAGCGGUGAAAUGCGUAGAGAUCUGGAGGAAUACCGGUGGCGAAGGCGGCCCCCUGGACGAAGACUGACGCUCAGGUGCGAAAGCGUGGGGCAGCAAACAGGAUUAGAUACCCUGGUAGUCCACGCUGUAAACGAUGUCGAUUUGGAGGUUGUGCCCUUGAGGCGUGGCUUCCGGAGCUAACGCGUUAAAUCGACCGCCUGGGGAGUACGGCCGCAAGGUUAAAACUCAAAUGAAUUG